rnacentral:sRNA from 1 species
AGCGACGAAAACCAUAUUGUAUGGCUC